GGGAGAAUAUUGCACAAUGGGCGAAAGCCUGAUGCAGCGACGCCGCGUGAGGGAUGACGGCCUUCGGGUUGUACACCUCUUUCAGCAGGGACGAAGCGCAAGUGACGGUACCUGCAGAAGAAGCACCGGCUAACUACGUGCCAGCAGCCGCGGUAAUACGUAGGGUGCAAGCGUUGUCCGGAAUUACUGGGCGUAAAGAGUUCGUAGGCGGGUUGUCGCGUCGUUUGUGAAAACCAGCAGCUCAACUGCUGGCUUGCAGGCGAUACGGGCAGACUUGAGUACUGCAGGGGAGACUGGAAUUCCUGGUGUAGCGGUGAAAUGCGCAGAUAUCAGGAGGAACACCGGUGGCGAAGGCGGGUCUCUGGGCAGUAACUGACGCUGAGGAACGAAAGCGUGGGUAGCGAACAGG
rnacentral:rRNA from 1 species